AGCUUUGCGAGGUGGUAGUAUCGUAGCCAGUGAGGUUUAUCUGAGGCACUAUUAUUGCUGAUUGAG
rnacentral:snRNA from 1 species